rnacentral:rRNA from 1 species
CCUACGGGCGGCAGCAGUGAGGAAUAUUGGUCAAUGGGCGUAAGCCUGAACCAGCCAAGUCGCGUGAGGGAUGAAGGUUCUAUGGAUCGUAAACCUCUUUUAUAAGGGAAUAAAGUUGGGGACGUGUCCUAUGUUGUAUGUACCUUAUGAAUAAGGAGCGGCUAACUCCGUGCCAGCAGCCUCGGUAAUACGGAGGAUCCGAGCGUUAUCCGGAUUUAUUGGGGUUAAAGGGUGCGUAGGCGGCCUUUUAAGUCAGCGGUGAAAGUCUGUGGCUCAACCAUAGAAUUGCCGUUGAAACUGGGGGGCUUGAGUGUGUUUGAGGCAGGCGGAAUGCGUGGUGUAGCGGUGAAAUGCUUAGAUAUCACGCAGAACCCCGAUUGCGAAGGCAGCCUGCCAGGCCAUGACUGACGCUGAUGCACGAAAGCGUGGGGAUCGAACAGGAUUAGAUACCCGUGUAGUC